rnacentral:lncRNA from 1 species
GGCUGAGGAGUGUGAUCCCCCUAUAGUUGGAACACUGCCUACCCUUCCCGUAGGCCCACCACCCGCAGGAAGGCGCAUAAGGGGUCGGUGCAGUGUGGAUUGGGUGGCAGCCGUGUGGAGGUGCCUCGACAACCCAAUCCCUGGGCCAAAUAUAGUGGAAAACGGAAUUAAUUACUGAACAGAAAAGUAGAUACCUGUAACACAAUCCAGUGUAACGAAGUUUACCUCAAAGGGCAAACACAGAUGUUCUGUAUAAUUUGACUUUGUAUGAACUCCAAUGUAUACAAUGACAUAACACUUUAUAUCCAUGCUCUUUAUGACUAACAUAAUUUUUUUAGUUUUAAACUUGUGUUUAAUUAUCAUUAUUGUGCAGAUGAUGACGAUGAUGAUGACGACGAUGAUGACGACAAAGACGGGGCUUAUCACAAGGGCUCUGUGUGCACUUACUGUGAAUUCUGUGAGCACUGUGACAGCUGCGAUAAAUGUCCUUGUAAAGAGGGAGACAAGUCUGAACACUGUGGUUACUGCAAGAUGUGCACUUUCUGCCAUGUGUGUCCAGCCUGCCAAACUCUUUGCAAGCCUGGGGGUUUUCUUGAUGAAGUGACAGGAUCGAUCUACAAGACUGUGGCUGAUGUCUUUGACGAUGAUGAUGAUGACAACUGAACACAACCAUUUGUCGCCACCAUGUGGCCAAACUAAUAUGCUUCACCUUCUCCUCUUUUUCAUUGUUGUUUUUGUCUUUUUCCAUCAGAAUAUCACACGCUGACCCACCAAUGAUUGAAAAGAAAUUAUUAUAAUAAUAAUAACUUCAUAUUUUUGUGUUCUGUUCUUAACUGACAAGUCUAAGUCAUACUUUUAAGUAAAAUCUUAAGUUUGAAGUCAUAUUUAAGCCAUGUUGAAUAAAAAAGAGAGGACAUUUUUACCAAUUGAUUUAUUAAUUUUCAAAUGCUUAUUAGACUGAAUAUCUGAAGUAAUGUGUUCAACGAAAAAAGGCAAAAGACCACUUCCACCACUAAGCUGUCCUUCAUAAAAAUGCAUGUUUAUUCACUGAUUGUUUGGAUCAGCUGUAGGCCUACUGCAUCAUUUUUGUAGCUUCAGCUUCAUACAUUAUGCGUGCUGUACUGCAGAGUAACACACCAGUCUACUGCCAGCAUUUUCACAUUAUAGAGCAGAUAUUAUAAAUUACCAGUGCCACUGAUGAUUCCUCCAGCCACCCAGGUACAGCUGGCACAGCAUCCUUUAACAACCAAGCUGCAAAUUCUGCUGCAUACUAUCCAGCCUCUUUAUCACCAGUGACUCAUGAGGCUCCUUGGACAUUCCUGACACC